GAGAGGAGGGUCAGGACAGCAAGGAAGUGAUCCUGCUUUAAAAAUAUGCCUUGUUCCCAUUUCUAAGUGAAUCCUGGUUUCUCCUGCUGCUGCUGCUGCUUGACACCAUCGAGCCACAGGAAAACAACCAAGAACCCUGUGGAUUAUUCAGGAAACAGCAGCAGAAUUCAUGGUUUGGGCUGGAAGAGCCCUUAAGGAUCAUCCAGUUCCACUCCCAACCUGCCAGAAGCCCUGAGCUCCACCCAGCCUGGCUUUGGAGCCCCUCAGUGCUGCUCUCUCUCACCCCACGCAGGUGUGGGGGGCCAGGGGAUGCAGAUGCCAAGGAAAUUGUUGAGCUCUUUUAAAAAGCAACAGAGCCAGACUGGUGAAGGAACCAAGAGGCACCACUGUAAAACUGUCAUUCCUCUGUUCCCUGUGCUGCUGGGACUUGGCAUCAGCUCCUGGCCUCUGUUCUAGGUAGCCUCUCAAGGCACCAUGGGGAGAGAAAUCUCAGCAUUGCUGCCCCUGGGGAGCCCCCGGGCACUGACCUUGACCCCAGGGAACUCCUCAGGCACUGACCUUGACCCCAGGGAACUCCUCAGGCACUGACUCUACCCCAGGGAGCCCCCUGGGCACUGGUCCUGCCCCCAGGGAGCACCAAGAGAGCCCCCAGGGAACUCCUCAGGGACUGACCCUGCCCCCAGGCACUGACCCUGCCCCCAGGGAGCUCCCUGUCCCUGCCUUUGCUCUGGGCACUGACCCUGCCCUGCCCCUGCCUUUG